rnacentral:rRNA from 1 species
AUUGAACGCUGGCGGCAGGCUUAACACAUGCAAGUCGAGCGGAGAGAAGUAGCUUGCUACUGAUCUUAGCGGCGGACGGGUGAGUAAUGCUUAGGAAUCUGCCUAUUAGUGGGGGUCAACAUUCCGAAAGGGAUGCUAAUACCGCAUACGCCCUACGGGGGAAAGCAGGGGAUCUUCGGACCUUGCGCUAAUAGAUGAGCCUAAGUCGGAUUAGCUAGUUGGUGGGGUAAAGGCCUACCAAGGCGACGAUCUGUAGCGGGUCUGAGAGGAUGAUCCGCCACACUGGGACUGAGACACGGCCCAGACUCCUACGGGAGGCAGCAGUGGGGAAUAUUGGACAAUGGGCGGAAGCCUGAUCCAGCCAUGCCGCGUGUGUGAAGAAGGCCUUUUGGUUGUAAAGCACUUUAAGCGAGGAGGAGGCUCUUAAGGUUAAUACCCUUGAUGAGUGGACGUUAUUCGCAGAAUAAGCACCGGCUAACUCUGUGCCAGCCGCCGCAGUAACAC